GCGAGAGUUGAACGUGAUUAGAGGCGGAUUUGAAAUCCAUUUGUAGUCGUGUUUUCUAUAGAGCUUUCAAAACCAACAUUGCCGAUGUAUAAUUACCCUACCCCAAUCAAUCUUUGCUUAUACGAUUUGUACUUGUUGUAAUUACACACAUUUCUGUUUUUGACCACAGAACAAAUUAGUUCAUUUGACGGUAGAAGCAAAUAAAUGCUCCGUAAUGCAUUUUAAGCCGUAUUGUGUGCUGUUUAUGAUAAUUAGCUUUCAGAGUAGGGGACUAUUCCCGCAUCAUCUUGAUAAGCCACUAAAUAUAUAGUAUUAACUAAAAGCUCAUGAAGGUGAAUUCCCCACCUCUUCCUUCACAGACGUUCACUUAAACUCUACAAACAGCGAGCCAAAACUGAAGUAAACCAACUAAAGCGGAAUGGAAGCCAUGUUUUGGAUAUGAAGAAAUAUAACGUAAUCAGAGGUAGAGCAUUCGCAGUGAUAAAUCAUCACUGAAUAAUGAAUAAGGCAUAUCCCCCGGACAAUUCCACCAGAACAACUCAUAUUGAAAUAGAGCCUGAUAACUUUAUUAAUUUUCGUACCAGGACAUCAAAGAAACGGCUUGAUUUCUACUUAAAUAUUAAUUUCAAGAUUGCUUUUAAUCACAGUGAGCUGCCUUGUUUUUUUCCUGAUAUUUGUCAUUCUCCUUUUCAGUAACGCAAGAUUUCAUAUCAAAUUAUUGUUUAUUGUUUUAUCUGUAAUUACUAUGCAUUUCAAAUGAUUAAA